rnacentral:lncRNA from 1 species
UUUUGGAUCGCAAAUUCUCGUGUUUUUGAUCUCUAAAACCCCUCGGGAUUCUUGUUUUGUUCUGCACGGGCCCUUGUGUUCCCGUGGGUGGGGUUAUGAAUGUGAAAAUUUGAAAGGUUCCCGUGAAAAUCUGUUCGUGCCGAACUCGAGUCGACUCCAGGUUACCCCAAGCCAACUCCAGUUCAGGCCGAGACCGCGGACCAAAUUGUGGGAAUUUUUGGU